rnacentral:rRNA from 1 species
AUUGAACGCUGGCGGCAGGCCUAACACAUGCAAGUCGAACGAGUGGCGGACGGGUGAGUAAUGGCUGGGAACCUGACUGAUGGCGGGGGAUAACUACUGGAAACGGUAGCUAAUACCGCAUACCAUCAGAUGUGCCCAGAUGGGAUUAGCUUGUUGGUGGGUAAACGGCUCACCAAGGCGACGAUCCCUAGCUGGUCUGAGAGGAUGACCGGCCACACGGGAACUGUGACACGGUCCAGACUCCUACGGGAGGCAGCAGGGGGUAAUAUUGCACAAUGGGCGCAAGCCUGGUGCAGCCAGGCCGCGUGUAUGAAGAGGGCCUUCGGGUGGUAAAGUACUUUCAGCGGGGAGGCGUUACCCUCAGAAGAAGCACCGGCUAACUCCGUGCCAGCAGCCGCGGUAAUUC